rnacentral:rRNA from 1 species
GACGAACGCUGGCGGCGUGCUUAACACAUGCCAGUCGAACGGUGAAGCGCCUUCCUUUUUGGUGGGUGUGGAUGAGUGGCGAACGGGUGAGUAACACGUGAGUAACCUGCCCCCUUCUUCUGGAUAACCGCAUGAAAGUGUGGCUAAUACGGGAUAUUCUGGGUCUGUCGCAUGAUGGGUCUGGGAAAGAUAUUGUUUCGGUGGGGGAUGGGCUCGCGGCCUAUCAGCUUGUUGGUGGGGUGAUGGCCUACCAAGGCGGUGACGGGUAGCCGGCCUGAGAGGGUGGACGGUCACACUGGGACUGAGACACGGCCCAGACUCCUACGGGAGGCAGCAGUGGGGAAUAUUGCACAAUGGGCGCAAGCCUGAUGCAGCGACGCCGCGUGAGGGAUGGAGGCCUUCGGGUUGUGAACCUCUUUCGCCAGUGAAGCAGGCCUGCCUCGUUUGUGGGUGGAUUGACGGUAGCUGGAUAAGAAGCGCCGGCUAACUACGUG